GCUUCAAUUUUUCCUCCUUAUAUUUGUUUUGCUAGUGAAAACUGUGAAAUGGGUUGCCUAGUUGAUGCCUAAGAAAAUAACAAUAUUCAUAAAGCUUUUUGAAAUUUCUUGUCUUCUCAAGGUGUGAUAAGGAAUUCCCCUUAUUUGAUGAAGGAUUCAUAGGCCCUAGAUUAUGCAAACCAUGUUCUAUUCAAUACAGAAAAUUGGAUUUUGAAGAAUUUUGUGUGGCUGCCAUAAGUUUGCAUCAGCUAGAAGGAAUGGAGAGCUGGGAACAACAUGCAAGGCAUGCUUAGGAGCUGUUUGAGAUGGAUGUCUACAAGCCAAUUAUGUUUGAAGGAACUUGCCUUUGUAUUCUCAUCAGUUUCAAAUGGCAAAUUUUGAUUCAAUUGUUUA